CCCUUAGAUGUCCUGGGCCGCACGCGCGCUACACUGAUGCAUUCAACGAGUGACCUUAGCCGAGAGGCCUGGGCAAUCUUUUGAACGUGCAUCGUGAUAGGGAUAGAUUAUUGCAAUUAUUAAUCUUGAACGAGGAAUUCCUAGUAAACGCAGAUCAUCAUUCUGCAUUGAUUACGUCCCUGCCCUUUGUACACACCGCCCGUCGCUACUACCGAUUGAACGGUUUAGUGAGGGCCUCGGAUUGGUCUCGGCCCGCUCUUUACCGGGCGGCGCCGUUGGUCGAGAAGACGCUCGAACUUGAUCGUUUAGAGGAAGUAAAAGUCGUAACA
rnacentral:rRNA from 1 species